GGGAACGCGUCCCGCCGGGCGGAGGGGCGGCCGCCUGCCCUGGGCCAGGGGAGUCCCCGGAGGAGGCGGCAGCUCCCGGCCGUGCCUCGGCGCCAUGGGAGCCGGGCUGUGCGCUGGGCCUGUGCCCGCCAGCCGAGCGGGCUGCGGGCGAGGGUUAAGCGCAUCCCGAGAACAACAGCUGCCCUUCUCUCUGCUCCUGCUUCCCCGAAACUUCAGCAGACAUUCCCAUUCCUCACCUUCUUUCCAGUGUUGUCUUAAGCGCCCCUACUCCCAAGAUGGCUUUGUGUACAUUGUAACCUCCCGCAAGGUUUACCUUGUUUUGCUCUCCGUUGUUCUUUCAGCCUUCCUUCGGGAAAAUAAAACCAGAAAUACGUAGGGUGUUUGGACUAGAAACUCAAUCCGCUGUUUGAUUUGAUUCUACAAGCACACAUAUAGUGCAGAUAAUCAAAAUCAAUACACAGCUUUCUUGCUAGUUUAUGCUGACUGAUGCCUGGAAGGGACCUCAUGGGGUUCAGCCAGGGGAACGUUGCAGUUUCCCACAUGAUGUUAUUAGAUGCUCCCUCAGGCUGUCGCAGUUUUUAUGCCAGUUCUGGAUUUAUGAUUUACACAAGACUAUAACAGGGCUGGGAGGCCUGGGCUUAGCCAGCCUUGUGAAAAAAACAGUUAAUUUGUGAUUACUUAGCAUUUCUGAAGCUGUUUUUCUGUGGAAGCUGUUCAGGAGAUGGAUGACUCUAGACUGUGCAACUGAGCAUACACAAGUUUGGUGCUAAGGGGAAGAGGAUUUUAAAUCCUCAUUAUCUUUUUUUCCAGUCACUGAGGCUGAUAGCAAAGCUGGAAGAUGUAAGGAAUGCCAUGGGAAAGAACAUGGAGUUCUAGUGUUUUAUCGGAAAGUUUCUGAAGAUUAAGAAAAUGGUGUUGGACAUUUGGAGAACAAAGCUGCUUUCAAGGGACUACCAUACAUUAAAAGUGGGAGAAAAACAGCAACGACAAAACAAAACAAGGGAAAGAGAAUCAGCAACUUGUGCUUGUGUCCCUACCUCCAACCUGGUGUUAAGAGUACCCGCACAAGAGGAGCCUCACACCACUUCUGCAUAAACCGCUUAUGUAUUUCCACAUUGCCUCCUAGAUUCCUCUGUUCCUUCCUCCCCACUGGUGUCCACUUGCAGACUCUGCUUCUUAUUUGUCUCAACUUCUCCUAGUUCACCCCAGCCCACUUUUAUGGCUGCCCCCCAAUCUACUCCUCAAAUAUUUUUACUCAAAUUUCAUUUUACUUGAGUCUCCUAAUACUUAUAUACAGCUCUCUGCCAUAGCAUUUGAGAUCCUGUUGUUGCCCUGUCUACUCUCUCCCUGCUCCCACACUCGGAUAGAUGCACAUGUACAUCCAUCCUUAUCUCCCUGAGCCACCUUGCUGUAGAUAAUCCUUGCCUGCAGAUCCCUGGCCUUGCCAGAUCUCCUACCAAGGCUCCUCCUCCAGCAGGGCUUUCAAAAUCCUGUAUGUGAGCUGUGCUUAACUAAGAUCCACCCAAAGGGAGACAGGAGAAGAGAAAUGCUGGUGUGUUUAUGAAAAACCCAUGAUAGUGCUACCCAGGCAAUGCCUACUUCUAGACAAAAUACAGAAUAUGGACUUUUGAAAGAUACUGAGUUCUCCAUAGUGAAGACUGCCAAAUGCCUGCUCAAAAUCAAAACUAUAGAGCAAUAGCCACUUGGAAAAUGGUGUUUGUGUGUGUAUGUACAUACUGCCCAUGUAGCACCUGUCAUGAGUUGCUCCUGCCAUGUACAGCACAUAAACAAAAGGCCAGGUAUAGAUAUACGAGAUUUAGCAAAGCUUGAACUACAGCUCCUCACUCAUAGGCAGCAAGGCGACAGCAAGGAGAAACCACAGGCAGCAGGGAAAUGCCAAGCAGCAUCUUGAGAAUCGUCCCAGACACUGAGAACAGUGAAGGGGGCUGCGUGGUGGGAGAGGCCAGCGGCCGGGUUUGUUGAAUGUUGCUGAAGCAGUAGAUGAGCUGGCCCACCACAUAUUUUUGAGGCCAUUCCCAGGACACUACAUCGCCUCAGGGAAAGAAAAGCAGAUUUACAGCUCCUUUGGGAGACACAGCAGCCCCGGGAGUGGAGACUCCGGCCUCUUGCCAAAGUGAACCCAACGAGAUCAUGAGAGCUAAUUCAGCUAAUUCGAGGAUCUCUUCAGCUGCGCGCCUCCCUGCAGGCUCAAAGCACACUCUGAGGAAGUUUUGUUCGAGAGCGGGUUUUGUUUCAGCAAGGCGUUGUGUGUGCGCGGGGAAGAUGGAGGCGGCGCAAGGCUCGCUGGGAGCUGUAGUCCUGCGGCCCCGCGGGCGGAGGUGUCGGGGUCCCCCAGAGAGGAGGAUGCCCUGCCUCGAUCCCUCCUGCGCAGCACUCUGGGGACACCGAGCCUUGGGCUGCCCGGGGAAGGGGGUGCCCGCGGCCAGCCCACCAUUGCUCUGUGCGGAGCCUUCACUGCCCCGCUUCCCUGUGUGCAACCUCAGUUUUACCCGCACGUCUGCUGGUGCCGGGCUUCUCGCUGCACGUCCGCGGGCAAACACAAAGGUGGCAGCAGCCUAAAGACACACCCAGUUAGUCUGGGAAGAUGCAAGAUGCAUACUGUUAGUGGCUGUUGUUUGAAUCAACCCUGCUUUUCAUUGUUUCUCCUGGGAUCGCUGCUCGGGUGCCAGGCGUGUAUCUACCUGGCUAACCUGGAUUGGCGCGGUGCUGAAGGGAAGACACGGCAGCCGAGGGCAGCAGAGACAAGGGAUCUUCCAUGAACUCCAGCACCGACACUGUCACUGCUUCUUGUAAAUCCCGGUGAGACUUCAGUUAUACCUAAGCAAUCAAUAAUUCUUUUAGACCUGCACCGAGUUCUUUAAAAUCCCUCCUUGGUUUUGUUCAGCCUGGAAACGAACAAGCAGACACUUUUAAGCAUUCUGAGAGUAUUUUGGCUUUAUGAGGCUCUCAUCACAUUGGCCACAUUGGAAUCUCUUAAAACUGUGUAACUUUCUUCCUAAACUUUUAUUCAACAGCCAUCAUCUGCAUAUUCUCAACUCUGUUUUGCUUGUUAGAAAGCAAAAUUAUUUGUUCUGGCAUUGAUUAGGGCAAGAUAAUAGAUAACUUUUCUUUUUUGCAGAGUGACAUUCUUCUUUUUUGCCUCCUUGUUUUUUAAAAGUAAUUAUGACCAGGAG